rnacentral:rRNA from 1 species
UACGAAGGGGGCUAGCGUUGCUCGGAAUCACUGGGCGUAAAGGGCGCGUAGGCGGCCAUUCAAGUCGGGGGUGAAAGCCUGUGGCUCAACCACAGAAUUGCCUUCGAUACUGUUUGGCUUGAGUUUGGUAGAGGUUGGUGGAACUGCGAGUGUAGAGGUGAAAUUCGUAGAUAUUCGCAAGAACACCAGUGGCGAAGGCGGCUCUCUGGACAGGUACUGACGCUGAGACGCGAAAGCGUGGGUAGCAAACAGG